UGGGGAAUUUUGGACAAUGGGGGAAACCCUGAUCCAGCCAUCCCGCGUGUGCGAUGAAGGCCUUCGGGUUGUAAAGCACUUUUGGCAGGAAAGAAACGUCAUGGGUUAAUACCCCGUGAAACUGACGGUACCUGCAGAAUAAGCACCGGCUAACUACGUGCUAGCAGCCGCGGUAAUACGUAGGGUGCAAGCGUUAAUCGGAAUUACUGGGCGUAAAGCGUGCGCAGGCGGUUCGGAAAGAAAGAUGUGAAAUCCCAGAGCUCAACUUUGGAACUGCAUUUUUAACUACCGGGCUAGAGUGUGUCAGAGGGAGGUGGAAUUCCGCGUGUAGCAGUGAAAUGCGUAGAUAUGCGGAGGAACACCGAUGGCGAAGGCAGCCUCCUGGGAUAACACUGACGCUCGUGCACGAAAGCGUGGGGAGCAAACAGG
rnacentral:rRNA from 1 species